rnacentral:rRNA from 1 species
CAGCCGCCGCGGGAAAACGUAGGUGGCAAGCGUUGUCCGGAAUUAUUGGGCGUAAAGGGCUCGCAGGCGGUUUCUUAAGUCUGAUGUGAAAGCCCCCGGCUCAACCGGGGAGGGUCAUUGGAAACUGGGAAACUUGAGUGCAGAAGAGGAGAGUGGAAUUCCACGUGUAGCGGUGAAAUGCGUAGAGAUGUGGAGGAACACCAGUGGCGAAGGCGACUCUCUGGUCUGUAACUGACGCUGAGGAGCGAAAGCGUGGGGAGCGAACAGGAUUAGAUACCCGUGUAGUCCCUGUCUCUUAUAU